CCAUCCAUCUCGAGGAGGAGUGUUGAACACUGGACAUGUUUCUGGCCCAAGUGACCCAAGCCCAUGUGUGUGCUGACCUAUAAAAGAAGGGAGCUGGAGGAGAGCUAACCCUAAGAGAGAAGAAACCACACCAGCCGCCAGGGACCAAGAAAGAUGAGGUGAGCUGCUGCUACAACAUAUAUGGUGGUACCAAAGGUUGUACCUCAAGGAGCUGUGAUGUUGUGGUAAUGCCCUGCUGGUUUUGCUCUUCAUUUGAACCUCCAGGAGAAAAUGCUUCAGGCAUCGAUAAACGGUCAUGCUUUAGUCUUCUCAUAUGCAGAAAAAAGAUGCAACAAAAUUGUUGCACAUUCACUAAAAGGGUGUUACUUAUUAUCAGAUGAUUAAUAAUUGUUCUAUAGAGGAUAGAGCGGAGAACUAAUGGGGGAUAAAAUGCUGCUAACAGCAACAUUUGAAUUGUGAAAUGUUAUGAUUAGGAAACCUAGCUAGCUCCACUAUUUCUUAGCGCAUGUAAUUUUUGCUUGACCUAAAAAUCAUGGACAUAUUUUGUUGACCUAAAAAUCAUGGAAAAUUGUCUAAAUGGAUUAUCUGUUCUGCAACCUUUGCAUGCUCCUAGCUUGAUUGGACCACCAUUUUCAUCUGACCAAGCGUAUCCGUAACGCCUCUCUAUUUUUCUUUUGCGGGGAUACCUAGGCUUCUUGUCCUGUGCUAGAGUUUCUUUGUUUUGUUGAGUUUAAACAAAUGUGACAAGGACGAAAGAAGACUGAGAAAGAAUUGGUAUUUAUUUUCUUUUAUGAACAGAAACCACACUGACACCUUUGUCUAAAUUAGGACAGUAUCUCCACCUAAUUUUUUUGUUAUUCCGUGGCAACACACGGGAAUUCAGCUAAUUGCAAGUAGAUGUCUAAAAGUAAAACGUAUCCAUUAAUACAACAUUCUUCUUGUUGAUCUUUUAUAAACUGCUUGAGAUGUGAUCUUUAAUAUUUACAACGGAUCCGAAUGAAUUCGCUCAAUUCUGAGUAGGAUGUUUUGAGGCAGGAACAUACUUUAGUAUUUUUCUCAGAGCAAGUCCAUCAGUUUUUUUGAAAGGCUGGGUUAUUGGAAGUAAUUAGAUGAGUGCUGGGUAAACAAAAGUGAGAUUUUGAUACCCCUUAUAUACUGCACAUCAUGAAACAUAUAUUCUUUUGAAAAUACUACUGCAAUUCUAGUUCUGUAGAGUGUAUGACUUGAACACCUACAAAGGCCUUCUUUUUGUGGCGGAUAAUUUGGGUUUCUUUACAUGUGAGUAUGAGUAUCCUUAGGAGCGGCUUGGUACUUCUAUGAGAUCAAUAGCAGUUUAUGAACCUUCUUUUGAAAUUCUUGACUUGAAUGUUAAUACGUUUUCCCUUGUAUUUGAGUUCAAGGUGUUAUCAUGUGACUCAGAGAUAUCUUCGUAUAUUAUCAUAUUGGUCAUACUCCAUAUAUUCGUUCCGUCAUAUCAGAGUACCUGACAUUCUGUUGCUAUAUAUACAAUUACGGCUUAAUUCUUGCAGACUGAAUAGAAGGUCAAAGGCGAGAACUGGGAGUCCGACUCUUACACAUAAAAACGUUACCCUGCUCAACCUGAACUUCCAAGCAGCAGAAGAUAGAACUAUGAUACUUCUCUACGCGAACUUGGAAAUAAGAUAUGGACAACAUUUCAAGGACAACCAAAUUCAUCUGUGGGGUUUCUUUUUUGGUAUUCUGCAGUCCCCUAGUAGAGAAAUUGUGAAGAGCAAUAGUUUAGUUUCCUCUUGCUUCGAGUUAAAAAAAAAGAUGAUUUGAAUUCUUCAGUUUCCUUUUCCUUUUCAUGUUCCUGUAUGAACGAUUUAACCUGCGCUAGUUUCAAGUUUCUGAAAAAUUGCCAGAACGAGCGUAAGCGUAAACUUAUAUUGACUGCAUGACCGUGGGAGACUAUAAAUGAAGUUACUAAUGACAUAAACCUAA